GAUAUAGAGCUAACACUAACUAACAUUCACUAGUUUAAUAUAGCAGGGUUCUGAUUCAUCAUAAUAUUAUUCCAGUUUAUCCUGGUCUAAUACUACUAAUUUCAAGUUAUAUUAACAUAAAAACCAGAUUUCAGAGUGGUAGCCGUGUUAGUCUGUAUCAUCAAA